UACGAAGGGGGCUAGCGUUGCUCGGAAUCACUGGGCGUAAAGCGCGUGUAGGCGGGUCUUUAAGUCCGGGGUGAAAUGCCAAGGCUCAACCUUGGAACUGCCUUUGAUACUGGAGACCUUGAGUCCGGGAGAGGUGAGUGGAAUUGCGAGUGUAGAGGUGAAAUUCGUAGAUAUUCGCAAGAACACCAGUGGCGAAGGCGGCUCACUGGCCCGGAACUGACGCUGAGACGCGAAAGCGUGGGGAGCAAACAGG
rnacentral:rRNA from 1 species